UACGUAGGGGGCAAGCGUUGUCCGGAAUCAUUGGGCGUAAAGCGCGUGUAGGCGGUCCGAUAAGUCGGCUGUGAAAGUCCAGGGCUCAACCCUGGGAUGCCGGUCGAUACUGUCGGACUAGAGUUCGGAAGAGGCGAGUGGAAUUCCCGGUGUAGCGGUGAAAUGCGCAGAUAUCGGGAGGAACACCAAUGGCGAAGGCAGCUCGCUGGGACGUUACUGACGCUGAGACACGAAAGCGUGGGGAGCAAACAGG
rnacentral:rRNA from 1 species